UCUUUGUUUUUUCCUAUAUAUAAACAUAAAUAGGUAAUGAGCACUUUCUACUUGAGCAAUAAAAAGACCCAAUGUAUUACACCCUGUGUCCGGUGAAGUGGCAUAAAAAUCACAUGCACCUUCAGGCUUGAAGGAAUAUCUAUAUUUGGAGGCACGUCAAUUAAUUUGCAUAUCAGAUUCAUCAUUGUGACUUCUUGCAGGCCAGAUCUGAGAAGUAACCAGGAAACCUGACCCUUAGUGGAGAAUGGAAAAACCCUUGAAGUCAGAGCACAACUGAUC
rnacentral:lncRNA from 1 species